rnacentral:lncRNA from 1 species
AUGAAAACCUCGGGAAAUCGAUUUAUCCCCAAAUCCUGGGCGUUUUCACCAAAAGUGUUUCGGGACGUGGAGGGGGAGGGGAAGGAAGAGGCGGGACGAGGGUUCGUUAACGAGAAUCUAAUGAGUCAUUAGACAGAUAAUCUAAAUUAGACUCGUUAGGCAACGAGGAAGGGGAAGGUGGGGUCAGGAGGGGCCGCGGCUCCGGGCUCCGACUCCCAGGAAUCGGCUGGAAUUCUUGGGAAGAGCCUGGAUCAGCGCUGCCCCCACCCCGUCCCCGAGUCCCGGCGGCACCAGCGGCGUUUCCAGUGGGGAUUUUGUCCACAUUCCCUAAAAUCCAGCGGGAAUUCCCCUCGCCAUUCCCUCCUUCCCCUUCCACCCCGCUCCGGCCGAACGAUCCGUGACGGAUCCGCUGCAGCGCCGGGAUCCAGCCGCGCCUCUCCGUGGGAGUUUGGGUUGGUUUGGGGUCCCUUUGGUGAUUUUUUGUGUCUUUUUGGUGAUUUUUUGGGUCCCUUCAAUGAUUUUUUGGGUCCCUUCAAUGAUUUUUUAUGUCCCUUUGGUAAUUUUUUGUGUCCCUUCGAUGAUUUUUUGGGUCCCUUUGGUGAUUUUUUGGGUCCCUUUGGUGAUUUCCAGCCCGGCCCCGCUCCCUUCGCCCCCGAUUCCCCCCGAGGGGAUUUUUGGCCCCUCCAUGGAUUGAGUUCCUGAAGCUCCCACCGGGAUCCCGAGCUCCUCCACGCCGAGUUUUGUCUUCUCCGCGGAGAACCGGAGAUUUCCCGGCGGGAAUUUCCCCGUUUGCGGCGUUUCCAAAGGGUCCAACGGAAGCCGAGAGAAGAAACGCCGCCGUCCCCCCAAAUCCUCCCGUUGGGGGAUCCUCGGGAAUUCAUCCCGCCUGGGAGAGCUCGGAGAGGCCGAACCCUCGCCCGCCGUCGGAAACGCGGGAAUCCGAACCGGGAUCCUUCCUCAUCCUCGCCGUUUCCCUCACGUGGGGAUCUCCGGCCGGCCGCGCUCGGCGCAGUGCCGCUCCAUCACCUGCAGCACGUCCUCGAGGAUGGAGGGCCCCA